CUGACUGGAGAGGAUUGUAAAGUAGUGAAGAAAACAUCUGGUGAGCCAAUAACACCCAACAGGUCCCUUAACAAGACAUCACCCAUCUCAGAGCCUCCACCUCACCGCCUGACAACAGAGGAACACAGAGCCAAGAAGAUUCUAGAAGUCACCAAGAAGAUGAUGGAGCUGCUGACGGGAGAGGUUCCUAUAAGGUGUCAGGA